AAGUCGUAACAAGGUUUCCGUAGGUGAACCUGCGGAAGGAUCAUGUAUACGUUUUUACUAAAACAAAAAAGAAAGGGGGGAAGUGAGGGUAGUGUUUUGUGCUCGCGCAUAAUUUGCUCUCUCGCCUCCCUCUUUUUUUUUCACCCAUCGCGAACCGGAUUUAAUUCCGUAGCAGUGGCUUGAAGUGGAGCGAAAGCUUCACGACCAGCUCUGCGCAUUUUUUUUAAUCUCACAAAACCCCAAUUUAUCCAACUUAUUUUUUUUUAAUGGACAUUUUCUUUUUUUUUGGAUUUAUCUCCAACAAAAAUGAAAAACACCAGAAAAAAUUGCAAAAUAGAGCGAACAACUCUUAGCAACGGAUAUCUUGGUUCCC
rnacentral:misc_RNA from 1 species